GUCCUUUUCCACCCUUUUCUGAGAAGAAAAAGCUUAAAGAGGAAACAUAAGAACCUAGAUCUGACAUUGCGAAGGCAGACUGGAUCCCUUUCAGAAGAACCCCUGCCAGAGCCAUUCUCAGGCAAGCAAGAGGAGGAAACUGAGUUUGAGAGAGGACGUGAUUUGCCCACAGCCACACACCAUGUUAGUAUCUGGUGUGAGAUUUGAACUCAAGUCUUCCUCAUUCCACAUCCAUCUCCAUAUCCA